UACGGAGGGAGCUAGCGUUGUUCGGAAUUACUGGGCGUAAAGCGCACGUAGGCGGCUUUGUAAGUUAGAGGUGAAAGCCCGGGGCUCAACUCCGGAACUGCCUUUAAGACUGCAUCGCUUGAAUCCGGGAGAGGUGAGUGGAAUUCCGAGUGUAGAGUUGAAAUUCGUAGAUAUUCGGAAGAACACCAGUGGCGAAGGCGGCUCACUGGACCGGUAUUGACGCUGAGGUGCGAAAGCGUGGGGAGCAAACAGG
rnacentral:rRNA from 1 species